rnacentral:lncRNA from 1 species
UGUUCCUUCAAUCAAGGAAAAAUACUUUGUCAGGGCCCUAGUGGAGAAACGUAUUUGUCAUUGAUUUGUGAUGUACUGAGUAAAUUUCAGCUUCAAGCUGUUAUUCUUUCUAAAGUAGUCUGGUCUUUAUCAGUGGUUUGAAACUUACCAGAUAUAAGGCACACUAGUUUUACAAGUAACUGCACUUUUUUCUACUGUGUUAUUUUAGUAUUACUAAAGCAAUGUAUGUAUAAUAUUUUUAAAUAGUAAUUUGUGGGAGCUCCUGUUGUGGAGCAAUGGGUUAAGAAUCCAACUGCAGCAGCUCAGGUCAUUGUGGAGGUACAGGUUUGAUCCCAGGUCCCAGUACAGUGGGUUAAAGGAUUCAGCGUUGCUGCAGCUGUGGCGUAGCUUGCAGCUGUGGUUGGAUUUGAUCCUGGGUCCAGGAACCACCAUAUGCUGUGGGUGAGACCACACACACAAAAAAUAUUAAUUUAUAUUUCUUUGUAUGUUAGUUAGGAUCUUUCGAGUUUUAAACUUGAUGUUAUCCAAAGCAACUGGAAGAUAGUGGUUGAAAAACAGACUUGUCAAAAUUAUUGAGUUUGUGCAUGAACAAGAAUGAAAAAAAAUAGCACAAAUUUUAAUCUAUUUUCUUAAUGUUGACCAGAUUUUGUAUUCUGAACUAUUGGGUAAAAAGCGAAAAAUCUGAAACUGAUUUAUUGAAGAAGCAAUUGGUAUUGUAGACCCAAACUCACCUCUAAGUAUUUCAUUUAUAGUCUUAAAAAUAAAAGAUGUAGGAGUUCCCAUUAUGGCUCAGUGGUAAUGAACCCGAUUAGUAUCAAUGAGGACUCGGGUUUGAUCCCUGGCCUUGCUCAGUGGUUAAGGAUCUGGCAUUGCCAUAAGCUGUAGUGUAGGUCACAGACAUGUCACAGGCUAGCAGCUACAGCUCCGAUUCAACCCCUAGCCUGGGAACCUCCAUAUGCCUGGGGUACAGCUCUAAAAAGACAAACAAAAAAAGAGAGAGAGAGAAAUCUAGGACAUCUCAAGCCAGAACUACAUCUGUGGCUUUUUCUGUCCUUGCCUCUGCAAUUCCUACUCACAGUACUUGAUCUUGUGGUAAAAUAAGGCUGUAAUCUGGGGUUGCAAUUUUGGUAAUGUUCAAAAGAUGAGUCAAGAAAGAGCACUAUCAUUAGCCUUUGCCAUGUGAAGUUAAAAAAUACCUUGUCCUGCCAUAGCUCAGGGGAAAGUCUGAGCAUUAUCUGCAUUCAGCGUUUUGAGCAGUUAGAUUUUUAAUAGUGUGUUGGGCUUUCCAGAUUGUUAAGGGAAAAGAAAUACUCUCAACAGACAUAGGCCAUGACUCUUUGCUACAGGAAUAAGCAAGAAAGGAAGCAGAAGAAAUCUCAAAACCCUUGUACUCCUGGAACAGCACUAAAGACAUGCAGAGAAUGCUGAGCUCAUGGUUUGACUUUCUGUACCUCCUUCUAGGGCUACUUAACUGUGUUUAUGGUUCCAAUAUACGGCUAUCUCCUGAUGGCAUUCUUUAUGUUUCAGUAUCACUCUCACUCUGUGAGAAUUUUUAAGUGUCUUAUAUUUAGAUUCAGCAGGAGAGAAUGUAUCUGAUUAGAAAGCACUUACCAGGAAAGAAAGCCUCUAAUUAUUUUCUCACUAUCUGGUGUGAGCAGAGCUUCUAGAAGAAAUCUCACAUCAGAUCAUCUCAUAGACUGCUGGCCAUCACACAGGUAGGUGCUCUUGAUUCACACCCCAAUCUCUGCUUCAAACUAGAGCUUGAGGGUCACCUGGCCAAAUAUGACAAUCUCCACAGUUUGCUCAAACGAAACUUAGAAAUGACACCUCUCAGACUAUCAUUGAUACUUUAAAAAAGAAAAAAAAUUACCUUGAUUAUCUAUGGGACCUUUGCAGAGGGCAAAAAUACUUGCAUGUUUUUAAAGUUCUGUCGUAGAGAAAAAGGCCAUCUCUCACUACCAUUCAAUGUGUGAACAUAUGUACACUUGUAUGAGCAUAUAAUGAGGUACAGAGAGGUAGAGGAAGGGGCUGGAGCACACAAAGGCCAUGAGAAGGAAAGCGCAAAGUAUUAUUUCAAAUCUACAAACUGCCAUAACAUUUUGCAUUUUUCCUACAUACAUUUAAAUCCUCUGAUUUGCUGACUUGAGAAUCAAGCUGUUUACAUGCUAACAAACUUUUCCAAGUGUGAAAAUAAAAUGAUUGGUAACAGAGAAGAAAGCAUAUGGAUACAUCCUAAAGAUCAGUGAUGAGCUAUUGUAACUAUGGGAACAGGGUUUCAAGUCACCUAAAGGAACACUGUAGUCCACCUGAGAUAGCCCUGUUUGUGUCUAUGGUGCUCGAUAAAGAUGAACUGAAUAAACGGAGCUAAGUGUUUCUCAUUAUUGAAGGUUUAAAGGCCAGGCUAUAAGUGGAAUCGUCAGUCAGCUCUGUAGAUUCUUGAGAUCAAAGGGAAUAUUUAACCCCCAUGACCAUUUCUUCAUAGAUAUUCUACUGUCUGACUUCUGUGCCCACCAUAGUACCCGCUACUUGUCAAUAUGCUUUUCUCUCCAUUGAACUGGCCUUGUCUUAGACGCUUAGCUUUCAUUCUCCAUGGUUUAGAAACCAGACGUAAACUGAUGAAGAAAUAUUUGUCUGAUAUGGUGACACCUUUGGCUCCUUUUCCAAACCAGCUUUGAAGCACGUACCACAGCCCAGGUGCAUCUGCAAUGUCAGUUUAGGGAGCAUGAGAGGGAAGUAGGAUUAGGAUGGAGGCCCUUGAUUUUGAAGGUCAGAAAAGCCUUAAGCUAAAGGCAAAUUUCCUGAUCCAAACUUUGUUGAAAACAGUAAAUCCAUUGAAAAUCAGAGACAUUUUUAAUGGAAAGGUUAUGUAUGGGGAUUAUCAGACUUGAAAGACAAUUCAAAAUGAUACCAUUCAUUGUACAUGACCCCCCCCCCCCNCCCCCCCCCCCCGCCACCGCCAAAUGCAAGUCAUUGAUUGUGCAGGUACAAAUCAAAGGAUUUAAGCUAAAUCUUUAAAUUUCUAUAUUUUGUUCUCUUCAUAUAAAAUGUUUUUGUAAAAUAUUUUAACUAUAUUUCAAAAGUUUUUUCCAGCUCAUAAUUCUGUAUCUCUCUCCAUACAGAGAGACAUAGCCAAGUCUUAAUUCUAGUACUCCAAUUUACUUCCAAACGAUUCAUCAGUGAAGUUUCUAGGAGCCAACUGCCACUCCCCAGUUAUCUUUGUGAACUUUUGUAGUUUCCAGUUGGGAAUCCCAAUUUCACUCCCGGAAAAGGAGUCAGUAAAUACCUCAUAUUCUUUAGAGAUACGAAGAAGGAUAAGUAAAGCAUAUACUGGAAACUCAUCUGCUAAGACAUGACCUAAAACACUGUAUUUGCAUGUCUUCAAGCAGCACACCACCACUUCCUCCUCCUCAGCCAUCACAUUCUGUGAAUCAUUCCCAGCUCUGUAUUUAGCAAUCAAAUAUUCUCAAUUCUUUUUCUAAAAAAGAAAAAAAUAAUAUAUGCAUGGUUCAGCCCCACAGCCUUCAUAAAAAUCUCAGGAACGGAAAUAAACAACAUUUUUAAUUCAAUAGAAGGAAAAUUAAAUAUCACUUAUGUACUUCCAAAUGGAAGUUGAGGGUUUAUUACACAAGCAGAUCCAUACACAAUACAACAGAAAGAGGAGGCAGUGUCUGAGUCAUUCAGGUUACCAUGUGUUUCUCAAAGCACAUGGCUUGCAGAAAGCAGAUUUUGUUAUUUUUUAAUUGUCCAUAUCCUCGGUUCUCUCCCCACCCCACUUGGUGUUUGUAACCUUCACACUCCGUUCUCUUGUUCUCUCUCAGAGCCUGUCUUAUUUCUAACAAAUAAGACCGUCAUCAAAGUUUAAAAGACAGACUUCCUGGCAAACAGUCUGAAGUUUUAACCACACAAACAGCAUUUCCACCCAAACUGUAAUGUUAUCAGUUAAACUAAAAUACAGUGACAAUUCUAUUUAAAUAAAAGUUCCUGAGUUUCAUCUCAAGUGUCAACAAAUCCAACAUUGGGUUGGAGAGAUAUCCUGUCGUCAGAUUUUGUCUCUGUUAGAUAAAUUAUGACUCUUCGGCUGGUUCAUGGGACAGCGGAUUUAAAUAGAGCGUUGACGUAAAAGAAAUGCAGCAUAAGUGGAAGAACAUAUUUUUUUCAUUCAGCCUGAUCUUCCAGGAUUUGGGGAAAAAAAUGUACCAACCAUCCAUUUUCUCUGCUACCUAGUCAUCCGCCCCCCCCCCCAACUAUCAGAUUCAUUCCAAUGAUAUUAACUCCUCUUGCUUCUCUCUAAAGUACAUAUACAACCCUAAUCUGGGUUUUUAGCUUAGUGCAGGCACAGGUUUUGGUCUCCUAUCUGAGUGUAGGGUCAUGAUUAGGAGCAGGAAAAUGUCUGACUCCUGCACAAACCCAAACACAACUGAAACUUUUGGAUGUCCUUAGUUGACCGUGGCCCAGGUGGAACCGAAUAUGCUUAAGAGUCAUUGUUCACCAAUGGCGAGAAAGAUUGCUGAUUAUGAAUCAGAAAUUUUCUUCUUGUGGUGGGAGAAAUCUCGGCAAAGGUCAAAUUUUAGAAAUUAUUCGGAAUAUGGGGAUUGUUUCUUGGGUUGCUGCUGUGGCGUGGGUUUGAUCCCUAGCCUAGGAACUUCCACAUGCCGCAUGUGUGGCCAGAAAAAAAAAAAAAAGAUUAGUAUAGUAGUGGUGCUAUUACCUACUAUAAAAUUAAGUUUUAAGACAGUUUUAAAUGUCAAUAUGUGUAUUAUAAAUUGUAAGUGUAUAUCAACAAUUUACUUUAGAGCUAGUAAAAUUGACUUUAUGUUUUAAUAAUCUAUGUUUACUUUUUAAAGGUAAUAUAUUCCCAUGAUUCAAAAUGCAAUAGGCAAAGAAGAAAAAAGGAAGGUCUUUCUCCCUCUCUUUUACUUAUCCACCUAAUUCUCCACCCACUCACCCACUUCCCCCCUUCUCCCACCAACAACCAGUGCUGUCCAUUCUUUCCUGUUCAUUCCUAGAUCUUUGAUAAAAAUGCACUCAUAUAUUAUUUUUGUCUUCUCUUUAAACAAAUGGUGGCAUGUUAUAUAAACUAUGUAUGUUUUUAAGUAGUUUAUACAUAGUCCCUUGGUUUUUUCCCCUUAAUAUAGUUGAGAGGUAUUUUUAUUUUACAUGAGUUCACUGAGAUCUUCCUCAUUAUUUGCUAUGGAUGUGUAGCAUCACAUUGUAGGAGAAUAUUUUAAUCAAUUCUCUACUUUGCAUAUUUGAUUUUUUUUCAAUUUUUUGCUACUAUGUUGAAUCAUAUGAAAUGCUAUAAUUGGUAACCUUGUAGAUAUUAUCAUUUUGCAGAUGUUCUAGUAUAUCUGGAGAAUGAACUCCUAGAGCUUGAACUGUUAGAACAAGAAAGGUGAGUACUUGUAACUGUGAUAGAUCUCAGCAAUUUAUUCAUCAACCAGCCUGGCCAACUAUGUACUCUAAUUUGUUGAUCUCUGUAAAUCUGAUAGGUUAAAAAUAUGUAUCUCAGUAUAACUUUAUCUGCACUUAUCUUAGCAUGACUUGAGUUUGAGCACAUUUGCUUAUGCAGAAGAGGCAUUUUUAGUUCUCAUUCUGUUUGUUCAUUGUAUGACUGUCUUGAGUGUGUCCAUAUUUUAGAAUAGUGGUAUCAAGGCAUACUGUAUUUAAGAUUUACCUUUUAUUAGUUGUGGGAAGUAUUAGGAAAUGGUCAUUUUCUUUGACAUGGCAUAAUUUCUAUUGUACAUGACAAAAAUUAAGUUGGUAAAUUCAAAAAGUCUACAUGAUUAAUUUUUCUAAUCAUAUAUUCUGUAAUACUAAUAAUAUUCUUUAAAAUGACUCUCCCUAAUUUUCUUUCUUCUACUAAAUACUAAUGUUUUAUUUCCAUUGCCCAGUAUGUUUUUUAUUUGCUGGAAAUAUUGCUUACAACUGUCUACUUUCUCUCACAACUAUCAGGGAUUGUACUUUCUUUGUUUUUGAGUGUUAAUUUUAGCCCCAGAUCAUAAUAAAGCUAGGGGAUGCCCAUGAACUGUGGGGCUUGAAACAAGGUCAUUAUUCCAUGAAUCAGAUAAAGAUAAAGCAUUUGUAAAAUUCUAAGGAGAUUAUUCUGCCAUUGUUGCAUGCCUAAGGGCAUUUUCAACUUUUCUGAGGGGCAGUGACUUUGCACAGCAGUGUAAGAGGGUGUGGAGCUAGGGAGAAUGGGCAAAGUGUAGCUGAAAGAGGACAAAGAGGAGGAAUGAGGGGGAGGACUGAGGUAGUUUUCCUCACUAACCCAUGGCUUACGCAAAGUAUUUCAUUUCUAUGGUUAAAUCAAUGCUCCUUAAACUUGCUGACAGUUACUAAGUAUGUUUAACAUUACUAACCUUACUUUUAUUUUAGUUCCAAAAAAAAAAAAAAA